rnacentral:lncRNA from 1 species
UCAGGGCACUUGGUUCUCUACAAACAUACAAUUUGAAUUAGACAUCACCGAUGCAUGUAAAACAUUAUUGGGAGAAGGCUAUUCCGUGCUUGCAACAAAUAAAGGUUAGUAGUUGUGUUGCUAGAACAACUCUCGCUGCUAGCAUGAAUAGUAGAAGAAUGGAAUGGUUAUAUGGCUCUAUGUAAAUCCACCUAUGGAAACAGGACAACAAAGCAAACCAUGGAGAGCUAAGAAUGACAUGUACAUCAAAUAACAUUUCUAAAUGGGUUAUUAUAGGGUUAAUUAGAUAAAUGCCACUUCAAUUAUGGCGAUUCUGAGAAAUGCCACCACAAUUUCCAAACUUUGAAAAAUCCACCUAUGGAAACAGCUCUGCCUUUCAUGGAAAUGGCAUUUUUCAAAGUUUGGAAAUUGCGGUGGCAUUUCUCAGAAUCGCCAUAAUUGGAGUGGCAUUUAUCAAAUUAACCCUUUAUAAAUUAGCUGUGGAACAUAGUACGUUUUGUCGGUUUGUUCUGUCAAACUACUCGAUAUGACAUUUCAGACAAUGCAUUUAAGAAAUUUUAAACAUGAGUAACAAAGACAACUACCAAAGAACAAUUAAUGCGUGCAAAAAGGAAGAUAAUAUCACAAGUGUUUAGAAAUCACCACCCCACAAAUUUCACAAGGCCAUUAAGAGGAAAGUUGAAAAAAAGGAAAAAGAUCAGUUUGAUUUACUACAUUUACUAAUAACUACAGAUAUUCUAUAACAUUUCAGGCUACAACUAUGAAUUUAGGCACUUAUUUUCUUCUAACACUGGAAAGCAAACUAUAACGUUCUCAAUUAUGCUUUCCAUCUAUAUUUCAUAGCAUUUACAAGCACAUAAUGAUAUGGAAUUCCCAUCAGCUCCAAAUUGCAAUAAGCUAAUAUUAGUUUUUAAUCUUGGUCUACCAUAUUUUUGUAUUCUCUCAAGUUAAAAAAACAUGGGUUGAUGCUCACAAGUUUUUGAAUUAAAAAAAAGCAUGUAAGAGAUCAGUUAGCCUCCUCCUCUGGUGAAUGCAGAAUAGGUCUUCCUUCUGAUCUCUAGUCAAAAGAACAAAAAUAAAUAUCUAGAGGAGGAUUUCAGAAAGUGGACUAACUCAAAAAAAAUAAGCAAACCAUUCAAUUAUUAACAUAGAUUUGUGUAACCAGCUUAUUGACAAGGCCAAUUACCAUGCAGACUGAAUAUCAGGACAUACAUGUACUGAUUCUUCAUUCUUGUAUACACAAAUAUGCAAAUAGUAAUUAGUACUGCUCAUGCACGACCAAACUAAAAAAGCAUACAAGAUUGUCUUCAUACUUGAAGACCACUUAGGUGAGCUCAUUUCAAUUCUGAUAGGGAGAGUAGAUAAGUUCCAAAAUAAUGGGAAGACAAUAUUACCCCUAUCGUAAAAUAUUGGAAUGAUCUAAAAUUAUGUGUGAGAUUCAUAGGAAAGCAUCAUUCAUGAAGUGCGAUAUUUCUCUUGAUUUUAUUCUUCUCAAGGGAUAGCUCAACAUAAGUGGAAAAGAAGCGACUAAUGCCAUUGAGUAUUUUAAUCAAACACAAUGCGCCCAACUAUAUACGCCAUUAAGUCUAAUAAAACUAAACAUGGUAAAACAUAUUCAUAUUGGUAUCAUCCCUAGUAGAAGCUCUAUAUAAUUUAAUGAGAAAUGAAAUUAGCAUGAAAAAUGAUCAUAUCCAAAUCAAUUCUCUUUAAUGAGAAAUGAAAACGACCCUGUGCAUGUCCCAAAAGAACAAUUGCGUAUGGCGACUUGCAAAAUAACAUGCGCCACAGAAUAAUUUACUUAAUAAUUAAGCAUACAAGUCGUCAUGGCAUCAAACAGAAGACAAGGAAGAUUAGUAGCUAAUCUGCUCAGUACAAUUACACUAACAAACAGGUAGCAACAUCGAGGUAUUUUAGCAUUAUUCCAUUGGUACCUGUACAAUACAGUGGUAAAUGUGUGGAGAGGUGUCAUUUUGGUUGGCACCUUGAAAAAGGCAUUGCUCUUGACCUGGGGCUGUAGGCGUGGCACUCAUGGACUAAAAGAAACAAGAAGCCCAUUUUGAAAACACAAUUAUUAAAAAGGCCAAUUGAUUGAUUCAUAGACGCAAAUGUCAGCCCUACCUUGUCAAACUGUAGGAGGAUGCUGAAGGCGAACUCAUCCAGUGUCUCCGUGAGGGACCUGCCAAAUCGAAAUUCUUGCUGUAUCUCUAACCACCAGAAUUCAACAGAAGUUGUGAUUCAGAUUCAUCAGCAUCAAACUGAAUGGUCGAUUAUUUGACAGAAGCUAUGUACAAUUAUUAUUGUACAGUAAACAAUCCCUGGUCCAAUACGAUCAUGCCAGAGUCAUAAAAUGACUGUAUUGACCAAAUAACAAUCGCGCGGUGCCUCUAAACGGAGGUGCUAAGCAGAUGUCGAACAUGAGAAGAUAUCAAGAAACAUGUGAGCCUCUAGACGGAAAUGCCAAGUAGCAUCCUUGGACAUCAUGUAUGCAUUUUCUAUGGAAGCUACUACCUAUGUAUCAAAAUAUAAGAUGUUUUUGUAGUUCAAUUUGAACUGCAAAAACAUCUUAUAUUUGGUAAGGAGGGAGUACUAAACUCAGUUGGCCAGUUAUAACAAAAGAUCAGAUAAGGAGGAUUGUUACCAGAUCAACA